GAUGAACGCUGGCGGCGUGCCUAAUACAUGCAAGUCGAACGAAACUUCUUUAUCACCGAGUGCUUGCACUCACCGAUAAAGAGUUGAGUGGCGAACGGGUGAGUAACACGUGGGCAGCCUGCCCAAAAGAGGGGGAUAACACUUGGAAACAGGUGCUAAUAACGCAUAACCAUAGUUACCGCAUGGUAACUAUGUAAAAGGUGGCUAUACUACCGCUUUUGGAUGGGCCCGCGGCGCAUUAGCUAGUUGGUAGGGUAAAGGCUUACCAAGGCAAUGAUGCGUAGCCGAAUUGAGAGGUUGAUCGGCCACAUUGGGACUGAGACACGGCCCAAACUCCUACGGGAGGCAGCAGUAGGGAAUCUUCCACAAUGGGCGAAAGCCUGAUGGAGCAACGCCGCGUGGGUGAAGAAGGUCUUCGGAUCGUAAAACCCUGUUGUUAGAGAAGAAAGUGCGUGAGAGUAACUGUUCACGUUUCGACGGUAUCUAACCAGAAAGCCACGGCUAACUACGU
rnacentral:rRNA from 1 species